GACGAACGCUGGCGGCGUGCUUAACACAUGCAAGUCGAACGGAAAGGCCCUGCUUUUGCGGGGUGCUCGAGUGGCGAACGGGUGAGUAACACGUGAGUAACCUGCCCUUGACUUUGGGAUAACUUCAGGAAACUGGGGCUAAUACCGGAUAGGAGCUCCUGCUGCAUGGUGGGGGUUGGAAAGUUUCGGCGGUUGGGGAUGGACUCGCGGCUUAUCAGCUUGUUGGUGGGGUAAUGGCUUACCAAGGCUUUGACGGGUAGCCGGCCUGAGAGGGUGACCGGCCACAUUGGGACUGAGAUACGGCCCAGACUCCUACGGGAGGCAGCAGUGGGGAAUAUUGCACAAUGGGCGGAAGCCUGAUGCAGCAACGCCGCGUGCGGGAUGACGGCCUUCGGGUUGUAAACCGCUUUCGCCUGUGACGAAGCGUGAGUGACGGUAAUGGGUAAAGAAGCACCUGCUAACUACGUG
rnacentral:rRNA from 1 species